GCGGGUGUCGUAUAACGGUUAUUACCUCAGCUUCCCAAGCUGGAGACGAGGGUUCAACUCCCUUCACCCGCUCCA
rnacentral:tRNA from 1 species